GAAUAUCGUGUAAUAUAAUAAAACCACCUGCCGAAUAUCAUGUGAUGUAAUAAAACCACCCGUCGAAUAUCAUGUAAUAUAAUAAAACCCAUUCGACGGGUGGUUUUAUUACAUCACAUGAUAUUCGGCAGGUGGUUUUAUUACAUCACAUGAUAUU